UACGAAGGGUGCAAGCGUUACUCGGACUUACUGGGCGUAAAGCGUGCGUAGGUGGUGAGUUAAGUCUGUCGUGAAAGCCCCGGGCUCAACCUGGGAAUGGCGAUGGAUACUGGCUCGCUAGAGUGCGGUAGAGGAGAGUGGAAUUCCCGGUGUAGCAGUGAAAUGCGUAGAGAUCGGGAGGAACAUCAGUUGCGAAGGCGGCUCUCUGGACCAGCACUGACACUGAGGCACGAAAGCGUGGGGAGCAAACAGG
rnacentral:rRNA from 1 species